UCCAAUACAACGUGUAUACAGAGAGCACAUUGUGAGUUUGCUUUCUCCAUCCCAUCCUGAGUGUGAACCCAAACAAACAGCUCACACCCCACAACAGCACCUCCUUAUUUAAGAAAUGUUGUUCUGAACACUGGAGUGCCAUGCUGCCCUAGACUGUGCUUACUGGCCACUGCCCUGUACUUGCUUGCUACUGCCACCCUGGACUCCCCUGUGCUUGCUUGCUGGCUGCUGCCCUGGAUGGCUCUGCCCUGUGCAUGCUGGCUGCUGCCCGCUGCCCUGGACGGCUCUGCCCUGUGCAUGCUGCUGUCCUAGACGGCUCUGCUCUGUGCAUGCUGCUGCCCUGGACUGCUCUGCUAUGUGUGCUGCUGCCCUGGACUGCUCUGCUCUGUGCAUGAUGCUGUCCUGGACGGCUCUGCUCUGUGUGUGCCGCUCCCCUGGACGACUGUGCUUUGUGCGUGCUGUUGUACUGGACGGCUCUGCUCUGUGUGCUGCUGCCCUGCUCUGGACUACUGUGUGCUGCUACCCUGGCCUGCAAAUUUAUAGAACCAUUAAGUUUCCAUUAAUAAAUGUCCAAAUGUCA